GAUGAAGAACGUAGCGAAAUGUGAUAAGUAAUGCGAAUUGCAGAAUUUCCGUGAAUCAUCGAGUCUUUGAACGCACAUUGCGCCCCCUGGUAUUCCGGGGGGCAUGCCUGUCCGAGCGUCAUUGCUGCCCUCAAGCACGGCUUGUGUGUUGGGCCCCGUCCUUCGAUCCCGGGGGACGGGCCCGAAAGGCAGCGGCGGCACCGCGUCCGGUCCUCGAGCGUAUGGGGCUUUGUCACCCGCUCUGUAGGCCCGGCCGGCGCUUGCCGAUCAACCCAAAUUUUUAUCCAGGUUGACCUCGGAUCAGGUAGGGAUACCCGCUGAACUUAAGCAUAUCAAUAAGCGGAGGA
rnacentral:misc_RNA from 1 species